rnacentral:rRNA from 1 species
UUCAUGGAGAGUUUGAUCCUGGCUCAGGACGAACGCUGGCGGCGUGCCUCUUACAUUCAAGUAGAGCGGACCGACGGGAGCUUGCUCCCUUAGGUUAGCGGCGGACGGG